GCCCUCAUUCCUGGAGAUGAGCCGGUGCCCUUGCCCAGCUUUGACUAUAUCGCUGGGCGACAUAACAGGGCCGUUUCACUGGUCCCCCCUGCUCGUGAGGCUGGGGGUGUCCGGUGCCCUUGCCACUGGCUCUGCUGACAUCUGAGUGGCAUUACACUCCUAUGCCAAAUUAUCCAACCAGUUGAUUAAUGAUGUUCAAGCUCUCUCCAACACUCUUACAGAUAUACAAGAUCAGAUCGAUUCUUUGGCUGAGGUGGUCCUUCAAAAUAGAAGGGGCCUGGACCUCCUCAUGGCGAAACAAGGAGGGAUUUACAUAGCCCUAAAUGAACAUUGUUGUUUCUAUGCCAAUAAAUCUGGGAUCACGACGACAAGAAUUUGCUCAAAAUCCCCUCUGGACUGGCCUCAAUGGUUUCCUCCCUUAUCUUCUCCCUUUGCUGGGACCCUUAUUGGGCCUACUUCUGCUCAUUUCUUUGGGGCCCAUAAUAUACAACAAAAUCAUGGUCUUCCUUAGAGCCCGGAUAGAGGCAAUAAAAACAGCACCCAUACAGGUCUACUAUCAUAGAUUAGCAAUGGCUGACCAGGACGAAUGCCGGACCAUCGAUUAGGUCCUUGCCGUGGCGAAGUGUUCUCGCCCCACCUGGUGAGUGGGCUGGCAAGCCAAUGACGGGCAACUGAGCAAGCGUGCCAUGCAAUGAGAGAGCCCUCGUGCACCGCCUAAGACAGGUGCCAGAGACUUGAUUCUCUGGUUAACCGAUGACAGGUAAGGUGCACGGUGCAGACACGUAUGUCUCUCUGACCCAAGACAGGCUCAGCCCCUGCAGGCUUGGCUCUCCUGACGCCUUUCUAAAAUUAUAAUUUUAAAGGGAGGACCUGUGGGGGGCCUUGCCCCCCCCACGAGAACUCUUGAGUGCCUUUUACGGGCAUGUCUAAGCCUGCUGCAAGUCUACCCGGCAACAAGGAAGUAGCCCCAGUACCCUCCCCUUGCUCCCUCCCUCUAGCCCUACGGUAUAUAUGCUGUAGCAGCUUCCGCAAUAAACGAGACUUGAUCAGAAA
rnacentral:lncRNA from 1 species